AACGCACGAGACCUGCGGACCUGCGGAGGGAUCAUUACAGAGUUCGUGCCUCCGGGCAGACCUCCCACCCACUGUCAUCGCUGCGACUGUUGCUUUGGCGGGCCGCCGGGCCAGCCCCGGCCGCCGGCACCCCGCCGGCGCGCGCCCGCCAGAGGCCCCACAGACCCUGGAUAUUGGCGUCGUCUGAGUCUCAUUCAAUGAAUCAAAACUUUUAACAACGGAUCUCUAGAUCGGAAGAGC
rnacentral:misc_RNA from 1 species